rnacentral:rRNA from 1 species
GACGAACGCUGGCGGCGUGCUUAACACAUGCAAGUCGAACGGUAAUUGGCCUUUCGGUGUACUCGACAGGCGAAGGGGGGGGUAAUAAGUCGGUAACCUGCUCUCGUCUACGGGAGAACUUCAGGCGGCUGGGGGUAAUACUAGAUCGUAAUCUUUGUUGCAUGGAUGUUUUUGGAAUUCUACGGCGGUUGUGGUUGGAGUUGCGCGUUAGUAGCUUGUUGGUGGAGUUGUGGUUUACCAACGCCUUGACGGGUAUCCGUCCGGAGAGGGCGACCGGACACAUUGGGACUGAGAUACGGCCCAGACGCCUAAGGGAGGCAGGAGUGGGGAAUAUUGCACAAUGGGAGGAAGCCUGAGGCAGGAACGCCGCGUGCGGGAUGACGGACUUCGGGUUGUAAACCGCAUUCAGCAGGGGCGAAGCUUGUGGUGACGGUACCUGCAGAAGAAGCACCGGCUAACUACGUG